CUGAUGUCGUCCAGUGGGGUUACCCUGGGAUCGCCUAUAACUCAUUUCGCCGACACGAUUUGACCGACAUUAACUUUCGUGUCGACAUUAUGUUUUUAUCGACACGGUCAAAUCGUCGACACCAAUCUGAUCGACAUUGACGACUCUCGUCGGCACUAUGUUUCCACCGACACGGUGAAAUUGUUGACAAAUGUUUCCAUCGAGUUCGUAUUUAUCGACAAAUUUUGGUUCCUUUGUUUCCACCCUUAAAAGAGGAGUCAGAGAGCAUACUAUUAUUUACGAUGGAGGAUAAUACAAGGAUUUUAACUGAUACGAAAUGUUGGAUAAUGGAUGGAACAUUCAAACUAUGUAAUUCCGUCGUUCUUCAAAUAAUUAUACGCCAUACAUAGAAGGAAAAAAAAUGCGACAAUUUCGCUAGCUUAUGCUUUAUUAAUUUCAAAAAAGGAACGAAUCUAUAGACUGUUAUUAGUUAAAAUUACUCGUACAGCUGAAGAAUAUAUCGCUUUGAUUUCAUUAAUUAAUAUUUAUACAAUUAUUGCAUAGCUUUGUUAUAUUUAGUUCUCGUUAUUCGUAUUAUUUAUUUAUGUGUACACAAUUACGUUUAAAAUUCAGUGAAAUAUUAUGAGAUUCGUUAGUAUGUACCUGAUAGAGUUUGCCGGAAGAUAUUGAUUAAUAAAGUAGAAAGAAAGAAAAA